rnacentral:rRNA from 1 species
CCUACGGGAGGCAGCAGUAGGGAAUUUUCCACAAUGGGCGAAAGCCUGAUGGAGCAAUACCGCGUGCAGGAUGAAGGCCUUCGGGUCGUAAACUGCUUUUAUGUGCGAAGAAUUUGACGGUAACACAUGAAUAAGGAUCGGCUAACUACGUGCCUGCAGCCGCGGUCAUACGUAGGAUCCAAGCGUUAUCCGGAAUUACUGGGCGUAAAGAGUUGCGUAGGUGGCAUUAUAAGUGGAGCGUGAAAGCGUGCGGCUCAACCGCAUUAUUGCGUUCCAAACGGUGAAGCUUGAGUAUGGGAGAGGUAGAUGGAAUUUCUAGUGUAGGAGUGAAAUCCGUAGAUAUUAGAAGGAACACCGAUGGCGUAGGCAGUCUACUGGCCCAUUACUGACACUAAGGCACGAAAGCGUGGGGAGCAAACGGGAUUAGAUACCCCGGUAGUCCACGCUGUAAAACCUAUGGAUGCUAGCUGUGACACACACUACGACCGUCGUGUCGUA